CUUUCUCAAACACUGGCAAAGCUUUCAAACCAAAGGACUUCCUUCCAGUAUAUAAGGUGGAGGAAGCUGUGUGUGACAGACAAAAGUGAAUGCUUUAUGUUUAGUUGGGUUUGAACACAUCUAAGACAACUAUUACUUUGAUAAAAACGUCUUUCAGGGGGAGUUACAGAGAUGAAAGCACAAAUUUGUAUAGCAUAAGCGUAUGGAGUGUGCUUUACUAACUUAGAUAUUGUUACAGAAGCAAUAUUAAUCAAAAGAAUCAUGUUCAUUUAGAACAAAAUCCAUAGAAGCUACAGAAUUGAUCCCUAAGGAUAUUAAAACACUGCUAGUGAUCAGGAAGGAGAAACCAAAGCAAAAGAAGAGAUAAUUGGUGUUAGGCAAACAAAACAAAAACAAUCUUGCAGAAACCCAAAACUAAUAUGUCCAUUUUAAGGGGGCGUAGAAUUAGAGAUGCAAACAGUAACUCUUAGAGGGGAGCAUCUUUUUUCCAGUCUUCUAGUUU
rnacentral:lncRNA from 10 species